rnacentral:rRNA from 1 species
GACCCCAUGCCGAACUCAGAAGUGAAACGCCGUAGCGCCGAUGGUAGUGUGGGGUCUCCCCAUGCAAGAGUAGGGAACUGCCAGGC